CCCGGUCUCAUUCCGAACCCGGUCGUUAAGUCUCCUUGCGCUGAUGGUACUGCCCUGUGGUGGGGUGGGAGAGUAGGUUGCUGCCACGG
rnacentral:rRNA from 1 species